rnacentral:rRNA from 1 species
GAUGAACGCUGGCGGCGUGCCUAAUACAUGCAAGUCGAGCGAACAGACGAGGAGCUUGCUCCUCUGACGUUAGCGGCGGACGGGUGAGUAACACGUGGAUAACCUACCUAUAAGACUGGGAUAACUUCGGGAAACCGGAGCUAAUACCGGAUAAUCUAUUGAACCGCAUGGUUCAAUAGUGAAAGACGGUUUUGCUGUCACUUAUAGCUGGAUCCGCGCCGCAUUAGCUAGUUGGUAAGGUAACGGCUUACCAAGGCAACGAUGCGUAGCCGACCUGAGAGGGUGAUCGGCCACACUGGAACUGAGACACGGUCCAGACUCCUACGGGAGGCAGCAGUAGGGAAUCUUCCGCAAUGGGCGAAAGCCUGACGGAGCAACGCCGCGUGAGUGAUGAAGGUCUUCGGAUCGUAAAACUCUGUUAUUAGGGAAGAACAAAUGUGUAAGUAACUAUGCACGUAUUGACGGUACCUAAUCAGAAAGCCACGGCUAACUACGUG